UGCAAUUUGGUGAGUAAAGCUCGUAGUCGGAUUUCGGGCGCGAGUGACUGUCAUCCUCUGAUUGGACGGUGCGCGCGUGCCUUUCUGCUUGGGACCCGUUGCCGGUUAAUUCUGUCGGGGGGGGUCAAAAGUCUUUUACUUUGAAAAAAUUAUGGUGUUCAAAGCAGGCUGUUGCUUGAAUUUAUUAUCAUGGAAUAAUGGAAUAGGACCUUGGCGCUAUUUCGUUGGUUAUGGGACUGGGGUAAUGAUUAAUAAGGACUGUUGGGGCCGUUCAUAUUUCGUUGUAGGAGGUGAUAUUCUUGUAUUUACAAACGAUGAACUUGUGCGAAAGCAUUCAGCAAGGAUGUUUUCAUUGAUCAACAACAAAAGUUAGGGGAUCGAAGACGAUCAAAUACCGUCGUAUUCUUAACCAUAAACUAUGCCUCCUAAGGAUCAUUGAGUGUCAAUUUACUACCUCAUUGGCACCUUGUGCAAAAUCAAAGUUUUUGGGUUCCGGGGGGAGUAUGGUCGCAAGGCUGAAACUUAUUGGAAUUGACGGAACGCCACCACCGGAAGUGGAGCCUGCGGCUUACUUUGACUCAGCACAGUGAAACUUACCAGAUCCAGACAUAAUCGAGAUGGACAGAUUGCAUUCUCUUUCCUGAUUCUAUGGGUGCAGGUGCAUGCUCAUUCUUAGUAGUUGGAGUGAUGUGUCUGGUUAAUUCCGUUAACGAACGAAACCUCAUCCUGCUAACUAGCGAUGCCCAUUUUUAAUGCGUAGUCCGCGUCUUAUAGGGACUAUUCCUGUUCAACGAAAGGAAGUUUGAGGCAAUAGCAGGUCUGUGAUGCCCUUAGAUGUUCUGGGGCGCACGCGCGCUACACUGAUGGAUGCAACGAGCUCUACACGUUGACCGAUAAGCCCCAGUAAACGUCGUCGAUAUCCAUCGAGAUGUGGGAUAGAUUGAUCGCUGAUCUUGAUCUCCAACGAAGAAUUACUAGUAAGACUGAGUCAUCAUAUCGCGCUGAUUACUGUACUGCCCUCUCGUACACUCCGACCGAUCUUCCUAGCGAUUGGAAAGCUCUGCGACAUCAUGCAGAGUCGCUGGCUGAGCUUAGCCACUCGCUGUGAGCAACUUGCAUCUUAACCUUAUCG
rnacentral:rRNA from 1 species